AUGCACAUCAUUGCACUUGUACGGUCUGAUUUUCUCUUACUAACUAAAAUUGUUUACUUGUUGUUUUAUUAUAGUGUACUAAAAUUGUUUACUUGUUGUUUUAUUAUAGUGUACUGGGAUGACACAUUGAGAAUAACUGGCCUUAUAAUCAUGUCGGCUGGAAACCUGGAAUCGUCAACUAAAGAUUAA